rnacentral:rRNA from 1 species
CAGCACCUCAAGUGGUCAGGAUGAUUAUUGGGCCUAAAGCAUCCGUAGCCGGCUCUGUAAGUUUUCGGUUAAAUCUGUACGCUCAACGUACAGGCUGCCGGGAAUACUGCAGAGCUAGGGAGUGGGAGAGGUAGACGGUACUCGGUAGGAAGGGGUAAAAUCCUUUGAUCUAUUGAUGACCACCUGUGGCGAAGGCGGUCUACCAGAACACGUCCGACGGUGAGGGAUGAAAGCUGGGGGAGCAAACCGGAUUAGUUACCCGAGUAGUCC